CACCCACACACACACACACACACACAGACACACACACACACACACACACACACACACACACACACUACAUGUGGCUUUGUCAAGCAGACUAGCAAAGAAAAUGUCCUAAUAAGGAGUCACAUUUCCACAAGCUCUAAAUAGUUCCAAACUAUUAAGUUUGUUCAUUAGUUUCCAUUUAAAGGGCCACUUCGUUCAGGCUGGACGCAGACUGUGAGUAUCUGAUGAUGAUCAGCCUGAAAAGCCUAUAGGUUGAUUUCUGCAUUAUAAAUCUAUGACUUUGUCUUGUGCAUAACUACUCAAAGAGGUUUGUGAAACCGAUAUGCAUUUUCUUCCAUUCUUUGUGCUUUAUUUAGUGAAACACUCACCGUCUAAACACAGACUACAUGAAGAGCUUCUUGUGUUCGCUCUACGUGUGGAGCGCCUCUCAGGAUGAAGUUUGUUUGCUAAAAAUUGCUAGUUUGGGCCAAAAUGGUGCUUACAGUACCAUAUUUAUUUUUCUUAACAUGAUCUUUAUCUGGCCAGCCCUGAAGCAUAAAGAGGGAGAAACAACCACAGAAUCACAUAGUCACAGUUUUAAUUUCAUACAGUCUGCCCUAAAUUAAAGGCAGUAGCUGGAGGAGCUGUCUGCCUGGCAACGAUCCCACGCUGCGUUCGGCACGACCACCUUCCUAAAAUAACCGAUUAAUUACCAACACGGCCUUGACAAAUUUCUCUUGAUAAGCUGGUUGGCUUCCCCUCGCAGCCACAUGAAGCCAUCACAAGAAAACAGUCAACAAGUUGUGUGUCAUUAUAGGAACGGAGCUCAAAUUCCUCCUGUGAACAGAUCGUUUUCAUCCUGGAGAACUGCAGGAAAUGUGUCCAUCCUGAGACAAACCGGAGCUCCAGGAAGUCAGCUUUAGUUUGGACUGAAAUAACUGCAGCUGCUCUGAUUGCUGCUGCAGAUAAGACCAAGGCAAAGAAGUGAAAGUGUCAAAAUGUCUGAUUAUUUUAAUCUAUCAACAUUACAAUAAUUCUCUCUCCUAACUGGAGUUUGGUGAAACCUGCUGCAGCUCCUGGUCUCACACUUAUUCCAGACCGCUGCGUUCAGAGAAUUACAGGCCGCCACGCCGCAGAAACGCUUUGAUUCUCUGACAACCAGAGGAGGAAAACAGCAGAUCCCAGAGAAACGAUCAGUUUUCAUCUACAGACCUAAAGAGGAACGAUCAGAAUCAGCAGCAGCAGCUUCAGUUGUUACAGACAGAAACUAGAGAGCAGCUGGAAUCUGCUGCAGAUCCGAACCUUCAGAGUCACAUAAAAACAGUUACAAAGUCGGCCUUCUGUAAAGGAUCAGUGAACGGCUCAGAACCUCAAUACAUUAAAGACCAGCUGCUGUUGCAUCAACCUUCCAGAACCUCUCAGGUCUUCUGGUUCUGCUCUGCUCUGCAUCCAGAACCAGAACCAAACAUGGAGACACAGCGUUCAGCUUCUAUGAACCACACAUCUGGAACAAACUUUCCUUGAAAAAGAAUAUUAGCUAUCACAUUUAUUAAUAAUUUAUUUGCAUUCAUUUUACUUUUGGAGUAUCUUUAAUCUCAAAAGCAAAUCUUGCAGAAAUCGUUUUUAUUAAGUUUUGUUUCUACAAUGAUUUACUGAUUUGUUUUGUUGAUUUCAAUAAAAUUGUAAUUUCAUUUCCUUUAAUCUAUUAUUGAGCAGAUAAAAUAAAGGCUUUAAAAGCGUAUUUUAAAAAUCUCCGUUUCUCAUGGCUGGUUGGUGGAUGUGAUCACCGCAUCCCGCCGCCUCUCAGAGCCUGCAGGCGUCUGCCGAUGUUAAAGCUCUGCAGCAGAUCUGUGAUUUCAGUGAACGGCUUUAGGAAACACUGACGAUUAAAAUUGUUGCAGCAGAUGCAUGAAAUGUGCAGAUCUCAAAGUAAACUUUGUUUUCACAGCUAUUAUAGCAACCGCCACCACUCUUAGAAACACGGGCCUAUAAAUACAGCCACGGUUAGAAGGCGCCCGAAUAUCUGCAGCAGUUCUCACACUGCCAGUAAAACCAGUAAAGAGGAAUACAUCAGCCCAGCACAAACAUCUAUUUCUGCAACAAAAAAUAAACAAUGUCCCUAAAAAUAGAGAAUUAUCCAAACUAGAGCCUGAAAUAACCCGCUGAGCCUGCAGAACCUGAGAGCUAAUGAUCCAACUGAUGUCACAGAAGUUACAGUUUCAGUUUUCUAACCAACUUUAGGGAAAAAUGACGUUUCUGUUAAUAAAAAUCUAUAAAUUUUGAUCUUUAACGGCUUUAAAGGUCUGUAGUGACGCUGGCUGGACCCUGAGGAUGGUCAGAUCGGUUCCUCUUUGCACACAGAGUCCAUGUCGCUGCUAUCAUUUUAUUUUUAAGAGCCUGAAACGGUUUUGUUCCUUAUACCUUAAUCUAUGCAUCUGCAGCUAAAGAUCACAUCCUCUUUUGUUUUCUUGCAUCUGAGGAAGUUACAGAGGAACCUUCCGUGGUUCAGACAUCAUCUUGAAAUAAUUUCAGUUCAGUAAAACAUUUUGUUUUCUUUUUCUGACCUGAAAUGAUCAUGUCUAAAGUGAGUUCAUAAAGAUAAAUUUAUUCAUGUGACAUUUUAAAAUUCUUCGUCUUUAAUGUGAACACCUGCUGGACUCUUAAAGAUUUUAAUGUUUUGUCAUGUUGCAACUUUAAGAAGAAGUUGAAUGAAAUCCUAAAUGUUUUUAAGAAUAAAGAUCUGAAAAGUGUUUGUAUCCAGCCUCCAUGAAUUCAAACUGCAGAAAACCUUUUAGGGUUCAUCUCUACCAGCCGUGAAAUCUAACAUUUCUACCAAAAUGUCAGUUUUCAAGGCCUGUGACAACUUUUCAAUUAGAUUUAUAUCUAGACUUUGACUAGGCCGUUAUGUGAUUGGAUGUGCUGCACAGACACAAACUGCUUUCAUAAUUUCAUAAUUAUAAUUUUCAGCCAUUGUUUAUGUUCAUAUUUAGCAUGUCUGCCUUCUUCUGGUGCAGAAUUAUAACGAAUGUCUCACAUCAACGACGUAAAAGUCGGAUAAAAUGUAACAUGACCGUUCAGACUGCAGACAUUUUGAAAACUAUCAAACACGCUUUAUUUCCACAUGCAAAAGUGGAACAGAUCAGAUUUUAUUUAGGGUGAAAAGAUCGGAACCGGGCUGUUCAGACUGCCAGGAAAAAGUGGGAUAUGCCACGGCAAAAAUGUCCAGUUAAAAACUUCAAAAUGUCUUCAUUUAGGGUAAAGAAAAUUUAAAAAGCAGAGAACAGUUAGAGACCAACAGAAAACUGAUGUUUCCCUGAACUAUGCAGGUGGACAAGUUUAUCUGAGACUCCCUCUCAGCCAGAACAUUUUUCAGAUACUUCUCUCCUCCCCACCAGAAGGCCAAUCAUUUCCUUCUGGUAAAAUAUGUGCUGAAAGUUACGUGAGCGAGAGAAGCGAGUGAAAAAACAAAAGACACACCUGUGUGAGCCGUGUGGCAGCCCAGCGCCGAGCCCAGGAGUGUCAGAGCCUGAAACUAAGGCGUUGUGGCCCCACAGGAAUCUCAGAUACUGAGCAGGUAGUCUGCUGCAGAGCCCAGCUCAAACACAAACGGAGGAGAAAGAAACGUUCAACAGAGAGAAUCCCAGUAAAUUCACUCACCGCGGGUUUCAGACCGGCAGGACAAACAGAUGCAAAGCCAUUCUUCAGUAAGGGGACGCUGCCGUUUGCUCCCACAAGGAAGCUAAGUUUAGGCUCCAUGCAAUCUUCCCAGGCUGAGUGACUCAACCCAGCAGGGAGGCUGAGAGAAACGCACUAAACUCCUCCCUCACACACACACACAUACACACACACACACCCCCACGCACCCCCGCACCCCACUUAGGAAACUUUCACAACGACCAACACAAAUCAGGAGCUCAAGACACAAACAUGAUCCGACUGAUGGGAUAACAGCUGUUCCACCUGCAGACAGACUUUAGACCCAACAGGAUGUUAAAAGUUGGACUUUGUGUCAUUUUGAUGAAACGAGCAAAAAAUCUUUAACUUGAGGCCCAAUUAGAUCAAUGCCAGGCAAACAGGACAGAACACUGCAAAAACUCAAAGUCUGACCAGGUAGAUUUUAUCCAGUUAUAGUCCAAAUAUCUUAUUACACUUAAAACAAGACAAAACUAACUUACAGAUAACUUUUCAGAAAUACUUUUUCACUUAUAACAAGAUAUUA